GACGAACGCUGGCGGCGUGCUUAACACAUGCAAGUCGAGCGGUAAGGCCCUUUCGGGGGUACACGAGCGGCGAACGGGUGAGUAACACGUGGGUGACCUGCCCUCAGCUCUGGGAUAAGCCUGGGAAACCGGGUCUAAUACUGGNUAUGACUCCAUGACGCAUGUUGUGGGGUGGAAAGCCUUGUGCGGCUGAGGAUGGGCCCGCGG
rnacentral:rRNA from 1 species